rnacentral:rRNA from 1 species
AGAGUUUGAUCCUGGCUCAGAUUGAACGCUGGCGGCAUGCCUUACACAUGCAAGUCGAACGGCAGCACGGGAGCAAUCCUGGUGGCGAGUGGCGAACGGGUGAGUAAUAUAUCGGAACGUGCCCAGUCGUGGGGGAUAACGCAGCGAAAGCUGUGCUAAUACCGCAUACGAUCUCUGGAUGAAAGCGGGGGACUCGCAAGGGCCUCGCGCGAUUGGAGCGGCCGAUAUCAGAUUAGCUAGUUGGUGGGGUAAAAGCCCACCAAGGCGACGAUCUGUAGCUGGUCUGAGAGGACGACCAGCCACACUGGAACUGAGACACGGUCCAGACUCCUACGGGAGGCAGCAGUGGGGAAUUUUGGACAAUGGGCGCAAGCCUGAUCCAGCAAUGCCGCGUGCAGGAUGAAGGCCUUCGGGUUGUAAACUGCUUUUGUACGGAACGAAACGGUCUGCCCUAAUACGGUGGGCUAAUGACGGUACCGUAAGAAUAAGCACCGGCUAACUACGUGCCAGCAGCCGCGGUAA